CUUUCCUCCCUAAUCCCUCCCCCCAAACCCUCAAAUUUAUUUUCUCAAAAUACAUAAACGUUCGUCGGCGAUCUAUAUUUUCUAAAUCAUUAAUACCUAUUGACGAAAACUCUUGUGGGCUUAUACAAAAUGAGUUCCGUUGAUUUUGAACAUUUGGGUAAUCCCACCGGAUCUAUUGACGAAAUAGUUGCUAAGUUUCCAUUGGUGACGUGGACCUUGAAGGCAUGUUCACAUUUGGCUGUAUGCCCUUGAGUCGACACUCUAUCUUCUUCGGUCAAAAUAAAAUUAGGAAAAAGAGGGUGGUUAUUUUCACUUGGAGGGCUUACAUAUCUGUCUAUGCAAUGUGUAAAGCAAGCUGCAAUGGGAUUCAGAGCCAGGGGUGUAGCUAUUGAUGUUAUCGACUUCUAAACAGGUGUAACACCCCGAUAUCCUUUUCCUGACUCCUCAUGUCCAAAAACGGAGCUUGAGGCCUUAGUUCACUGAUGCAAUGGUAAUGACAAUCGCAACAGCCACAUUGUAAAAGCUGGAUCAGGUUCCAUUCGUGAUGCGAUGUCCAGUUUAUUUGAACUGAAAUCCGAGGAACAGACAAACAUAAACAACACAUCUCUUUUUAGAAAGAUGUGUCAUUAGUCAUUUACUUUCACUCAAAAAUGUAGCAUGUCCAUAACCUACUCGAUCAGUCUAAGUUAGUAAGAUAUCUUGGUUGCUUUUAAAA